UUAGGGCGAAACGACCCGGAUUCAGAAUUCAAGAUGGUUCAGUUAAAAAAACCAGUGCUAGCGCUAAAAAAAGACUAAAAAAACAAGAGAUGCAAGGUACAGGUGUAAUAAAAGGGAAAGGAUACUAGACAUUGGUAUUCAUUGUGAACGAUGGAGAAGAGUUAAAGAAACUACUGGGAUUGAAAAGGACGAUAAAAUGAUGGAAAUAUUGAUCGAUGCAACUACUUCUGAACUAGAGUAGAGAGCUUCAACAUUCAUAUUUUGAUGUAUGCUCCAAAGCGAAAUGCUUUCAGCUAUGCUGUUUAUAGAUGCGGGUGUCAGUUAGCAGCAAUAGAUUAUUCAAAACACUUGAAUCGUCCUGUUUUGUUGGACAAAGAAGGAAAUUAGAGGGGAAAGAGUGCACUCAAAAGCUGCUGGUAAUUGGAGCACAAGACCUAUGAAAAAACCCAAGGAGUAUACAUACAUAACCGGUUUGUUCACUGAAGUUACAAAUGAAUUCACCAUAGGCAAGAAAAGAAUAAGUGGCAAAUGUGAACAGCUCUCUUGACCCCAAAAGAAUUAGGUCAACUAUAGUCCUUGUCACACCUCCACCUUCAUCGAUACUUAGUGAUCAGCAUGUCUCUAGAUUGAGAAAAGCGAAAAAAAAGAAUUGUUGCCCAAGACGUGUUUGAUGUUCAUUUGAAGUUGACGCAGAAGUUAUCUUUGUUAGAUAACUAUUAAGUUACACAUCUUUAGUGUUAAUAUAAUUUUAGAAGUGUUUUGAAAAUGUACAAUCUUACAUAAUGUUAUAAAUAAUGAAUGCUCUUGGUUGUACAAUGCAAUGACAUUUUUCAGGAAGUUUUAAUAUUGAAUUUAGCAUGAAUAUAUUUUUAUGUCCCCCACUAUAGUAGAGGGGGACAUAUUGUUUUUGCCCUGUCUGUUGGUCUGUCUGUCUGUCUGUUUGCGCCAACUUUAACAUUUUGCAAUAACUUUUGCCAUAUUGAAGAUAGCAACUUGAUAUUUGGCAUGCAUAUGUAUCUCAUGGAGCUGCACAUUUUGAGUGGUGAAAGAUCAAGGUCAUCCUUCAAGGCCAAAGGUCAAAUAUCGCCCCCUUGGUGCAAAAAGGUACCAAGUGAAAUUGAAAUUAGAAGGCACAUGGUACCUUUUUGCACCAAUGGGGCGAUAUAUGGGUCAAAAUCGCUAAUUUAAUGUACACUUUUGCAGUAUUUCAAUAUUCAAGAUAGCAACUUGAUAUUUGGCAUGCAUGUGUAUCUCAUGGAGCUGCACAUUUUGAGUGGUGAAAGGUCAAGGUCAUCCUUCAAGGUCAGAGGUCAAAUAUAUGUGGCCAAAAUCGCUUAUUUUAUGAAUACUAUUGCAAUAUUGAAGAUAGCAACUUGAUAUUUGGCAUGCAUGUGUAUCUCAUGGAGCUGCACAUUUUGAGUGGUGAAAGGUCAAGGUCAGAGGUCAAAUAUAUGUGGCCCAAAUCGGUUAUUUUAUGAAUACUUUUGCAAUAUGGAAGAUAGCAAUUUGAUAUUUGGCAUGCAUGUGUAUCUCAUGGAGCUGCACAUUUUGAGUGGUGAAAGGUCAAGGUCAUUCUUCAAGGUCAAGUAUAUGGGUCAAAAUUGCGCAUGUAAGGUCUCUUCUGCAAUAUUGAAGCUAGCAAUUUUUUUAUUUGAAAUGCAUGUGUAUCUCAAGGAGCUGCACAUUUUGAGUGUUGAAGGGUCAAGGUCAAGGUCAUCCUACGAGGUCAACAUCAUAUACGGGGACAUUGUGUUUCUCAAACACAUCUUGUUUUAUUUUUAAUAUAUUUUGUGCGAUUUUUAUCAAUACAUUUUUACACAUAUAAAGAACACAAUUUUUCUUACAAAAAGUUUCGUUUUUUGUUUGAUUAUCGAUACGUGUUUUUCAUUGUCUUCUUUAUAGCCUGUAUUUAAUAAACCAUUGUAGUCAA